rnacentral:rRNA from 1 species
AGAGUUUGAUCCUGGCUCAGGACGAACGCUGGCGGCGUGCUUAACACAUGCAAGUCGAGCGGUAAGGCCCUUCGGGGUACACGAGCGGCGAACGGGUGAGUAACACGUGGGUGACCUGCCCUCAGCUCUGGGAUAAGCCUGGGAAACUGGGUCUAAUACCGGAUAUUCACGUGCUCCUGCAUGGGGGGUGUGUGGAAAGUUUUUUCGGCUGGGGAUGGGCCCGCGGCCUAUCAGCUUGUUGGUGGGGUGAUGGCCUACCAAGGCGACGACGGGUAGCCGGCCUGAGAGGGCGACCGGCCACACUGGGACUGAGACACGGCCCAGACUCCUACGGGAGGCAGCAGUGGGGAAUAUUGCGCAAUGGGCGGAAGCCUGACGCAGCGACGCCGCGUGGGGGAUGACGGCCUUCGGGUUGUAAACCUCUUUCGACCGGGACGAAGAGUGAUUGACGGUACCGGUAGAAGAAGCACCGGCCAACUACGUGCCAGCAGCCGCGGUAACACGUAGGGUGCGAGCGUUGUCCGGAAUUAUUGGGCGUAAAGAGCUCGUAGGCGGUGUGUCGCGUCGGCCGUGAAAACCUGGGGCUUAACUCUGGGCUUGCGGUCGAUACGGGCAUCACUUGAGUUCGGCAGGGGAGACUGGAAUUCCUGGUGUAGCGGUGAAAUGCGCAGAUAUCAGGAGGAACACCGGUGGCGAAGGCGGGUCUCUGGGCCGAUACUGACGCUGAGGAGGAAAGCGUGGGGAGCGAACAGGAUUAGAUACCCUAGUAGUCC